AAAGUGCGACUGUAUUCUGUUGUC
rnacentral:siRNA from 1 species